rnacentral:misc_RNA from 1 species
AACGCACAUUGCGCCCUUUGGUAUUCCGAGGGGCAUGCCCGUUCGAGCGUCAUUACACCACUCAAGCCUGGCUUGGUAUUGGAGCGCCGGGGCCCUCGCCCCGCGUCUCAAAGACAUAUGGGCUGGACGGUCGGAAUCUUCAGCGUCGUGAAUCACCAUUCGCUCUGGAAGACGACCGCCCAUCGCCGUUAAACAUCAUUCAAAGGUUGACCUCGGAUCGGGUAGGGAUACCCGCUGAACUUAA